rnacentral:tRNA from 1 species
AGUAAGGUCAGCUAAUUAAGCUAUCGGGCCCAUACCCCAAAAUGUUGGUUUAUAUCCUUCCCGUACUA